rnacentral:tRNA from 1 species
GCCUCGUUAACUCAGCGGUCAGAGUGCCGGCCUGUCUAGUCGGAAGCCGCGGGUUCGAUCCCCGUACGAGGCGCCA